CAUCAGAAAGCUAAAAGGGUGUAGCAUUAGCCUUUUAAGCUAAAAAUUGGUGACUCCCGCCCACCUCUGGUGA
rfam:Oryzias latipes mitochondrial DNA, complete genome.